rnacentral:rRNA from 1 species
CGGGGGGAGCAAGCGUUGUUCGGAUUUACUGGGCGUAAAGGGCGCGUAGGCGGCCACCGCAAGUCGACUGUGAAAUCUCCGGGCUUAACCCGGAAAGGUCAGCCGAUACUGCGGGGCUAGAGUGCAGAAGGGGCAACUGGAAUUCUCGGUGUAGCGGUGAAAUGCGUAGAUAUCGAGAGGAACACCUGCGGCGAAGGCGGGUUGCUGGGCUGACACUGACGCUGAUGCGCGAAAGCUAGGGGGAGCGAACGGGAUUAGAUACCCCGGUAGUCCUAGCCUUAAACGAUGAAUGCUUGGUGUCUGGGGUUUUAUAGUCCCCGGGUGCCGUCGCUAACGCUUUAAGCAUUCCGCCUGGGGAGUACGGUCACAAGACUG